rnacentral:rRNA from 1 species
AGUGAACGCUGGCGGUAGGCCUAACACAUGCAAGUCGAACGGCAGCACAGUAAGAGCUUGCUCUUACGGGUGGCGAGUGGCGGACGGGUGAGGAAUACAUCGGAAUCUACUUUUUCGUGGGGGAUAACGUAGGGAAACUUACGCUAAUACAGCAUACGACCUUCGGGUGAAAGCAGUGGAUCGUCGGACCUUGCGCGAUUGAAUGAGCCGAUGUCGGAUUGGCUAGUUGGCGGGGUAAAGGCCCACCAGGGCGAGGAUCCGUAGCUGGUCUGAGAGGAGGGUCAGCGGCCUGGGAACUGAGACGCGGACAAGGGGCCUGAGGGAGGGAGCAGUGGGGAACAGGGGACAAUGGUGGCAAGCAUGGUCCAGUCAGCGCGAGUGGGUGAAGAAGGCCUUCGGGUUGUGAAGACCGUCUGUUGGGAAAGAAAAGCAGCAGGUUAAGACCCCGCUGUUCUGACGGUACCCAAAGAAUAAGCACCGGCUAACUUCGUG